rnacentral:rRNA from 1 species
ACACGGGGGGCGCAAGCGUUAUUCGGAAUUAUUGGGCGUAAAGGGCGCGUAGGCGGUCUUGUCGGUCAGAUGUGAAAGCCCAGGGCUCAACCCUGGACGUGCAUUUGAAACAGCAAGACUCGAGUACGGGAGAGGAAAGCGGAAUUCCUGGUGUAGAGGUGAAAUUCGUAGAUAUCAGGAGGAACACCGAUGGCGAAGGCAGCUUUCUGGACCGAUACUGACGCUGAGGCGCGAAGGCGUGGGUAGCGAACAGGAUUAGAUACCCUAGUAGUCC